GUGGGGAAUCUUGCGCAAUGGGCGAAAGCCUGACGCAGCGACGCCGCGUGUGCGAUGAAGGUCUUCGGAUCGUAAAGCACUGUCACGGGGGACGAAGCUCUGACGGUACCCCGGGAGGAAGCACCGGCUAACUCUGUGCCAGCAGCCGCGGUAAUACAGAGGGUGCGAGCGUUGUUCGGAAUUAUUGGGCGUAAAGCGCAUGUAGGCGGCGCGUCAAGUCGCGUGUGAAAUCCCCGGGCUCAACCCGGGAAGUGCGCGCGAAACUGACGUGCUCGAGUGCCGGAGAGGGUCGCGGAAUUCCCGGUGUAGAGGUGAAAUUCGUAGAUAUCGGGAGGAACACCAGAGGCGAAGGCGGCGACCUGGACGGACACUGACGCUGAGACGCGAAAGCGUGGGGAGCAAACAGGAUUAGAUACCCCUGUAGUCC
rnacentral:rRNA from 1 species